CCUACGGGGGACAGCAGUGAGGAAUAUUGGUCAAUGGGCGGGAGCCUGAACCAGCCAAGUCGCGUGAGGGAAGACGGUCCUAUGGAUUGUAAACCUUUUUAGGCGGGGAGCAAUGCCGGGCACGCGUGCCCGGAGGGAGAGUACCCGCAGAAUAAGCAUCGGCUAACUCCGUGACAGCAGCCGCGGUAAUACGGAGGAUGCGAGCGUUAUCCGGAGUUAUUGGGUUAACAGGGUGCGUAGGCGGAUUUUUAAGUCAGCGGUAAAAUGUCGGGGCUCAACCCGGGCCGGCCGUUGAAACUGGGGAUCUAGAGUGGGCGAGAGGUAUGCGGAAUGCGUGGUGUAGCGGUGAAAUGCGUAGAUAUCACGCAGAACUCCGAUUGCGAAGGCAGCAUACCGGCGCCCGACUGACGCUGAGGCACGAAAGCGUGGGGAUCGAACAGGAUUAGAUACCCUAGUAGUC
rnacentral:rRNA from 1 species